rnacentral:rRNA from 1 species
AUUGAACGCUGGCGGCAUGCCCUACACAUGCAAGUCGAACGGUAACAGGUUAAGCUGACGAGUGGCGAACGGGUGAGUAAUGUACCGGAACGUGCCCAGUCGUGGGGGAUAACUGCUCGAAAGAGCAGCUAAUACCGCAUACGACCUGAGGGUGAAAGCGGGGGAUCGCAAGACCUCGCGCGAUUGGAGCGGCCGAUAUCAGAUUGGGUAGUUGGUGAGGUAAAGGCUCACCAAGCCGACGAUCUGUAGCUGGUCUGAGAGGACGACCAGCCGCACUGGGACUGAGACACGGCCCGGACUCCUACGGGAGGCAGCAGUGGGGAAUUUUGGACAAUCGGCGCAAGCCUGAUCUAGCCAUGCCGCGUGCGGGAAGAAGGCCUUCGGGUUGUAAACCGCUUUUGUCAGGGAAGAAAAGGUUCUGGCUAAUACCUGGGACUCAUGACGGUACCUGAAGAAUAAGCACCGGCUAACUACGUGCCAGCCGCCGCCGUAAACA